CUCCCAUUUUUCUACUCUCUCUCUCUCUUCUCCCAAAUAAAAAAAACACAGUAUUACACUAUUACUACCUCUCCUCAAAGUCAUUUCCUCUUUUCUUUCUCUUUCACGAUUCAUUUCCCUCUUUCCGUUCUCUCAUACGCUCGAUCGCUCAAGCCUCCCUCAAACUCUCUCUCAGCAUCAUCGAUUCACUCUCUCCCUCUCUCGUCGCGAUGGCGAUACCCGCAACACCAUUGAUUCCCCUUUCUCUCGUGCCAUAGCGACUACAACAACAUCAAUCUAAAUCUUUGUUCUUGUUCUUGACGAUUAAAUCAUUAAUCAUAACAUUGUUUGACAUUCUCUUCUUGCCGGUGGGAUCUUCAGCUUGAACACGCUACCUACAAGAAUUGACAACAUCUUGACCUUCCGAGCAGUUUCAAUUAUUACGGCUUCAAAGUGCAUCGUGAAUGAGCUAAAGGAUUUGUAGAAGGACCCUUCAACAUCAUGCAGUACAGGAUAUGAACAAGUCCUAUCUUGGCUACCUCGGCGUGUAUGUUUUAUGAGUGGGUGUGGUGUCCGGAGGAGUGCUUGCGGCGGUAAGGAUGGAAGCUGUAGCCGUUUGACUGUUUUUUUAUGCAGAGGGGUGUGUUUUUAGUGUUGUUGCUGUCUGUGCUGUUUUUUGCUUCUGUGAUAGCCUUUCUGGUGUUUUUUUUUGCGGUAGGCUCCUGUUUUUUGCAGCUUGCAGCAGCUGCUGCUGUGUUUCUCUCCUCCCUGCUGUGGCAGUUUUUUGGUUUGUAGGCGUGUCCCCUUUCCGUUUGGUGUUUAGGCAGUUUCGGCAGGGCUAUGGAACUGAAAUUUGAUGAAGUGAAUUUAAUUUCAGAGUCAUAACUGUUGUCUCCUGGUGUUUGUUUUUGGGGAUUUCGCAGCCAUUGCCUUUUGUGGUUUUGCGGUGGUUUUAUACUAUUUGCGGUGUUUUUUUGGGAUGUUACGCCUAUAUGCGGCAUCAUUGUAUCUUUUUCACUGCCUCUUUGCGCCUUGCUAGACUAAGAUGGGUGAAAAGGGAUGAAAAGGAUAUGAACAAGAAAGAAUAUGUAAAUUGAAUAUUAUGCAAUUCUAUGAUAAUUUUGAAUAUACUAUGUUAUCUGAAUUUGAA